GAUGAAGAACGGUAGCGAAAUGCGAUAAGUAAUGUGAAUUGCAGAAUUCAGUGAAUCAUCGAAUCUUUGAACGCACAUUGCGCCCGCCAGUAUUCUGGCGGGCAUGCCUGUCUGAGCGUCAUUUCAACCCUCAUGCCCCUAGGGCGUGGUGUUGGGGAUCGGCCAAAGCCCGCGAGGGACGGCCGGCCCCUAAAUCUAGUGGCGGACCCGUCGUGGCCUCCUCUGCGAAGUAGUGAUAUUCCGCAUCGGAGAGCGAUGAGCCCCUGCCGUUAAACCCCCAACUUUCCAAGGUUGACCUCAGAUCAGGUAGGAAUACCCGCUGAACUUAAGCAUAUCAAUAAGCGGAGGA
rnacentral:misc_RNA from 1 species